rnacentral:rRNA from 1 species
UACGAAGGGGGCUAGCGUUGCUCGGAAUCACUGGGCGUAAAGCGCACGUAGGCGGAUUGCUAAGUCAGGGGUGAAAUCCUGGAGCUCAACUCCAGAACUGCCUUUGAUACUGGCGAUCUUGAGUCCGGGAGAGGUGAGUGGAACUGCGAGUGUAGAGGUGAAAUUCGUAGAUAUUCGGAAGAACACCAGUGGCGAAGGCGGCUCACUGGCCCGGUACUGACGCUGAAAUACGAAAGCGUGGGGAGCAAACAGG